GAUGAACGCUGGCGGCGUGCCUAAUACAUGCAAGUCGAGCGAACAGACGAGGAGCUUGCUCCUUCGACGUUAGCGGCGGACGGGUGAGUAACACGUAGGUAACCUACCUAUAAGACUGGGAUAACUUCGGGAAACCGGAGCUAAUACCGGAUAAUAUUUCGAACCGCAUGGUUCGAUAGUGAAAGAUGGCUUUGCUAUCACUUAUAGAUGGACCUGCGCCGUAUUAGCUAGUUGGUAAGGUAACGGCUUACCAAGGCAACGAUACGUAGCCGACCUGAGAGGGUGAUCGGCCACUCUGGAGCUGAGACACGGUCCAGACUCCUACGGGAGGCAGCAGUAGGGAAUCUUCCGCAAUGGGCGAAAGCCUGACGGAGCAACGCCGCGUGAGUGAUGAAGGUCUUCGGAUCGUAAAACUCUGUUAUUAGGGAAGAACAAACGUGUAAGUAACUGUGCGCGUCUGAACGGUACCUAAUCAGAAAGCCACGCCUAACUACGU
rnacentral:rRNA from 1 species